GGUUCUCUCCGAAAUAUAUUUAGGUAUAGCGUUGUGUCGUAAUAUAAGGGGGUAGAGCACUGAAUGGGCUAGGGCAUACACCAAUGUACCAAACCCUAUCAAACUCCGAAUACCUUAUAUGUAAUCACAGCAGUCAGGCGGCGAGUGAUAAAAUCCGUCGUCAAGAGGGAAACAACCCAGACUACCAGCUAAGGUCCCUAAAUCUUACUUAAGUGGAAAACGAUGUGAAGUUACUUAAACAACCAGGAGGUUGGCUUAGAAGCAGCCAUCCUUUAAAGAAAGCGUAAUAGCUCACUGGUCUAGUGAUUUUGCGCGGAAAAUAUAACGGGGCUAAAGUAAGUACCGAAGCUGUAGACUUAGUUUACUAAGUGGUAGGAGAGCGUUCUAUUUGCGUCGAAGGUAUACCGGUAAGGAGUGCUGGAGCGAAUAGAAGUGAGCAUGCAGGCAUGAGUAGCGAUAAUUAAUGUGAGAAUCAUUAACGCCGUAAACCCAAGGUUUCCUACGCGAUGCUCGUCAUCGUAGGGUUAGUCGGGUCCUAAGUCGAGUCCGAAAGGGGUAGACGAUGGCAAAUUGGUUAAUAUUCCAAUACCAACAUUAGUGUGCGAUGGAAGGACGCUUAGGGCUAAGGGGGCUAGCGGAUGGAAGUGCUAGUCUAAGGUCGUAGGAGGUUAUACAGGCAAAUCCGUAUAACAAUACUCCGAGAACUGAAAGGCUUUUUGAAGUCUUCGGAUGGAUAGAAGAACCCCUGAUGCCGUCGAGCCAAGAAAAGUUUCUAAGUUUAGCUAAUGUUGCCCGUACCGUAAACCGACACAGGUGGGUGGGAUGAGUAUUCUAAGGCGCGUGGAAGAACUCUCUUUAAGGAACUCUGCAAAAUAGCACCGUAUCUUCGGUAUAAGGUGUGGUUAGCUUUGUAUUAGGAUUUACUCCGAAAGCAAGGAAACUUACAACAAAGAGUCCCUCCCGACUGUUUACCAAAAACACAGCACUCUGCUAACUCGUAAGAGGAUGUAUAGGGUGUGACGCCUGCCCGGUGCUCGAAGGUUAAUUGAUGGGGUUAGCAUUAGCGAAGCUCUUGAUCGAAGCCCGAGUAAACGGCGGCCGUAACUAUAACGGUCCUAAGGUAGCGAAAUUCCUUGUCGGUUAAAUACCGACCUGCAUGAAUGGCGUAACGAGAUGGGAGCUGUCUCAAAGAGGGAUCCAGUGAAAUUGUAGUGGAGGUGAAAAUUCCUCCUACCCGCGGCAAGACGGAAAGACCCCGUGGACCUUUACUACAGCUUGACACUGCUACUUGGAUAAGAAUGUGCAGGAUAGGUGGGAGGCUUUGAGUAUAUGACGCCAGUUGUAUAUGAGCCAUUGUUGAGAUACCACUCUUUCUUAUUUGGGUAGCUAACCAGCUUGAGUUAUCCUCAAGUGGGACAAUGUCUGGUGGGUAGUUUGACUGGGGCGGUCGCCUCCCAAAUAAUAACGGAGGCUUACAAAGGUUGGCUCAGAACGGUUGGAAAUCGUUCGUAGAGUAUAAAGGUAUAAGCCAGCUUAACUGCAAGACAUACAAGUCAAGCAGAGACGAAAGUCGGUCUUAGUGAUCCGGUGGUUCUGUGUGGAAGGGCCAUCGCUCAAAGGAUAAAAGGUACCCCGGGGAUAACAGGCUGAUCUCCCCCAAGAGCUCACAUCGACGGGGAGGUUUGGCACCUCGAUGUCGGCUCAUCGCAUCCUGGGGCUGGAGCAGGUCCCAAGGGUAUGGCUGUUCGCCAUUUAAAGCGGUACGCGAGCUGGGUUCAGAACGUCGUGAGACAGUUCGGUCCCUAUCUGCCGUGGGCGUAAGAAGAUUGAAGAGAUUUGACCCUAGUACGAGAGGACCGGGUUGAACAAACCACUGGUGUAGCUGUUGUUCUGCCAAGAGCAUCGCAGCGUAGCUAAGUUUGGAAAGGAUAAACGCUGAAAGCAUCUAAGCGUGAAGCCAACUCUAAGAUGAAUCUUCUCUAAGCUCUCUAGAAGACUACUAGUUUGAUAGGCUGGGUGUGUAAUGGAUGAAAGUCCUUUAGCUGACCAGUACUAAUAGAGCGUUUGGCUUAUCUUUAAUAAAGCAU
rnacentral:rRNA from 1 species